rnacentral:rRNA from 1 species
UGAAGCGGCAACAGCUCAAAUUUGAAAGCUGGCCCUUUCAGGGUCCGCGUUGUAAUUUGUAGAGGAUGCUUCGGGCGCGGCGCUGGUCUAAGUUCUUUGGAACAAGACGUCAUAGAGGGUGAGAAUCCCGUAUGUGACUAGCUGCCUGUGCCUGUGUGAAGCUCCUUCGACGAGUCGAGUUGUUUGGGAAUGCAGCUCAAAAUGGGUGGUGUACUUCAUCUAAAGCUAAAUAUUGGCCAGAGACCGAUAGCGCACAAGUAGAGUGAUCGAAAGAUGAAAAGCACUUUGGAAAGAGAGUUAAACAGUACGUGAAAUUGUUGAAAGGGAAGCGCUUGCAAUCAGACUUGCGCGGCGUCGAUCAGCCUGGGUUCUCCCUGGUGCACUCGGCGCUGCUCAGGCCAGCAUCAGUUUCAGCGGUUGGAUAAAGGCCUAGGGAACGUGGGUUACUUCGGUGACUGUUAUAGCCCUAGGUGCAAUGCAGCCUGUUGGGACUGAGGACCGCGCUUCGGCUAGGAUGCUGGCGUAAUGGUUGUAAGCGACCCGUCUUGAAACACGGACCAAGGAGUCUAACAUCUAUGCGAGUUUUUGGGUGUCAAACCCAUAAGCGUAAUGAAAGUGAACGGAGGUGAGAACCCUUAAGGGUGCAUCAUCGACCGAUCCUGAUGUCUUCGGAUGGAUUUGAGUAAGAGCAUAGCUGUUGGGACCCGAAAGAUGGUGAUCUAUACUUGAAUAGGGUGAAGCCAGAGGAAACUCUGGUGGAGGCUCGCAGCGGUUCUGACGUGCAAAUCGAUCGUCAAAUUUGGGUAUAGG